GGGGAUCGGGCUUGGCCGCUGAGAAGGCGGUGUUGCUGAAGGGAGAGUGAUGGCGGCACCGCCCAAUGGACGUGUGGGUGGAGGGGUCGGCGCACCCGCCCGCACAGGUGGAUGGGUCAGCUCCCCGGGCCCCAGCGUCCCGCCCCGCUGCUGCGUCCCGUCUCUCCCGGCCCGCACCCUCCUCCAGCCCAGCAGUGUGCUGUCCAUCGUCUGGCCGCCAGUCUUUGGCAAAGAGAAGGUCUUGAACCGCGGCUGACCUUAGUCUUUGUCCCUCGGCCCCGUUCCGCUGCUGGCGUCGAGGCCGCCAGUCCCUCAGCGCUAUAUUUUUUUUACCACCACUCUCUCCCCCAGCACUGCCACGGGCGUGUUUGGGCUAAGCCCCCUCCAUUCCGUCUGCGUUGGAGAAAUGUUCCUGGUACCAGAAGGAAUGAAAGGACUGGGACUGGUCUCCAUGGCAACUGGAAGAAAGAGACUAGCUCCCCUGACGAGGAAUAACUUUGGAGUUAUCCAAACUCUGGAAAUUCCAGCUCCUGCAAGAAGCCAUCCCAGAUGGAUCCUACAAGAACUAAGAAUACCUGUAACUAGUCUUCUAAAUCUCAGCACCCAGUGUGGCCUUUCUUUCUACCCCCCACCAAUCUGGUCCUCCUUGACCUGAGAGAGCUUUCAUCCAAGUCUGUGAGUCCUAAUAGAUCAUCCUGAAGAAUCAGAAAUCACCAUCAUCACCAUCAUCACCAUCACCAUCAUCAUCAUCAUCCAGGGCUGCCAAGAUGAAGCCCCAAUAGCAAAACAACACCUGAAAUACGUAUGUAGUUUGUUUGUUUACAGUGUACAGAGUACCUUUACAUGUCCUUUAAUCCUCCCAGCAACACGGAUGAUGAGGCAACUUAACCAGAGGCACACAGCUUAAAAAAUGACAGAACCUGGAUUCCUGAGAAGUUCAGCCACUCUCUGCCUCACAGUAACCAAAAGGCACAAAUUCAGUAAAAUUCCAAUAAGUUACUAGAAGGCUUUUUGUCUUCUUAAAUAAAUACAUGUGUCUUCACUCUUUGGUGUGAUCU
rnacentral:lncRNA from 1 species